UAAUAUUUUUGAAUUUUGAUAAUCUUGAGUUUUUUAAGAGAAUGAAAUGCUGUGUACACAAAUAAUUUUUAUAUUGCUUUUAUACAUCAUUAGCAAAAUUAAUAUAUGAGUUGAAUAAAAUUGAUCAGAUGGAUAUUUUUCGAUUUUGUAAUCAUAACCUGAUAUAUUUACAAUCUAAAUUGUGAACUUACAGAAUAAAACUGAAAUUUAUUAACAUGUUAUGGGUAUAACCUUUUGGGUAUAAUGUUGUAUGAGACAUUUUAGACAUAAUUAUGAGUAAAUUAACACUUAGAGAUAAGUCAGAGAUUGAGGAAUUUUCUGAGUCAGACACUUCAGGUUCUGAGUGGCAACCAUCUGAUUCCAGUAGUGAUACAGAAUUUUCUGUUUGAUCCUCAUAUACAAAAUGAACAGUGUCCAGUUUGAAUUUAAAAUUGCCAAUGCCAAUAAAUGAAUCUGAAAAAGACGUAGAUCAAGCAUCUCAUUGAAUUAUCAAAUGAGUCACUUAUAUCUGAUGGAAAAAAUUUAGAAACUCUUGUAUCCACAAGUUCUUUUGAAGUAUCGCCACAUAAAAAUGCUUCAAGCGACUUAGAAAUUAACUGCAGUAGUUUUAAUUCUUUUUUGAUGGAAGACUCUCCUAGCAAUACACUUCUUUCAUUAGAAUCUAAUAAGCACCAUGUAAAAUCUAAAAUUCUUAAGUCUAAUGUUGUAGAACAAUUCAGAAAUCUUAAUACGAAUACAUUAAGUGAUCUAAAAAUAAAUGAAAAAAACAAGUUCUAUCUUCUACGGAGAAAAUUAUUUCAAAUGCAGAAGGACCAAUCAAUAAAAAAUCAUAUAGUUUCUUCAGUCAAUUUCAAAAUAAUUCUAUGGAAAAUUCAAUUAAUUCAAUAAAUAGUGAUAUGGAUGGUAGCAUCUUGCCUAUUUUAAAAACUGCUAAAAACAAUGAUCACCAAAGAUACUUAAGUUUGAAUGCUAAAAUAUUAAAAAAUGAAGUAAGGCAAAACCAGAAAAAUAAAUUUGCACCAAAAAAACAAAUAUUAUCAAAAGUUGCAAGUUCAGUUGAAAAAAAAUCUAUAAAAUUAAUAACACAUAAAAAACCAGUGAUUAAAUUAAUAGAUUUGUCAGUUAAUUUGAAACGUAUGGAUGAAGCAUUGAUAAAUAAAAGAUUAUGUAUUUCUAAAACAACAUUGAAUGUAACUGAAAGUGAUAUUAGAAUAUUGCCUGAUAAAGUUGAUGGUAAUUUUUAAAAUAAUGCCAUAGAAGAUUUCAUUGGUGGUGAUAUAGAUGAUAGUAUCCAGCCUAAUUUUAUAACUGCUAGAGAGAAUGAUCUUAAAACAUGUACAAGAUCAGAUAUUCGAUCAAAAAAUAAAGUAAGUAAAAAUCAGAAAAAUAAAUGUGUACCAGAAAAACUAAAAGUCAAAAGUUCUACACUAAAUAAAGAGCCAGUAGUUGAAUUCAAUGCCUCAGCCAAUAGCAGUUUAGAUUUGUCAGUAAAUUUGAAAGGUGUGGGAGAAGUAUUAAAAAGUAAAAAACAUUUAUUAGUAUUAACAAGCUCGGAUGGUAUUAAAAGAAAUUGUUGUUUAUACUGUGUUUUAAAAUGCAUUUCAACUAAGGAUCUCCAAAUAAAAGUUUUGUACGCAAAUCUUGUAGAUCACUAUGAAGUUGCUCAUUCAGAUGAAAAAUUAGUUAAACUAUUGGUUAAAAUUAAAAAAGCACCAUUCAUUAAGGGUAAACCAAGAUCAG